UACAGAGGUCCCAAGCGUUGUUCGGAUUCAUUGGGCGUAAAGGGUGCGUAGGUGGCGCCGUAAGUCGGUGUGAAAUUUCGGAGCUUAACUCCGAAACUGCAUUCGAUACUGCGGUGCUUGAGGACUGGAGAGGAGACUGGAAUUCAUGGUGUAGCAGUGAAAUGCGUAGAGAUCAUGAGGAAGACCAGUGGCGAAGGCGGGUCUCUGGGCAGUAACUGACGCUGAGGAGCGAAAGCGUGGGGAGCGAACAGG
rnacentral:rRNA from 1 species